rnacentral:rRNA from 1 species
GAUCAUGGCUCAGAGUGAACGCUGGCGGUAGGCCUAACACAUGCAAGUCGAACGGCAGCACAGAGGAGCUUGCUCCUUGGGUGGCGAGUGGCGGACGGGUGAGGAAUACAUCGGAAUCUACUCUGUCGUGGGGGAUAACGUAGGGAAACUAACGCUAAUACCGCAUACGACCUACGGGUGAAAGCAGGGGAUCUUCGGACCUUGCGCGAUUGAAUGAGCCGAUGUCGGAUUAGCUAGUUGGG